GGCCCAAAUUUGAAGUAGAGUAGAUUAGUAGUAUCAGCUGAUCCUUCUUAACUACUGUCUUUCAAAUUUGAGCCC
rfam:Haemonchus placei strain MHpl1 genome assembly, scaffold: HPLM_scaffold0000366